GACGAACGCUGGCGGCGUGCUUAACACAUGCAAGUCGAACGCUGAAGCUUGGUGCUUGCACUGGGUGGAUGAGUGGCGAACGGGUGAGUAAUACGUGAGUAACCUGCCCUUGACUCUGGGAUAAGCCUGGGAAACUGGGUCUAAUACUGGAUACGACAUGUCACCGCAUGGUGGUGUGUGGAAAGGGUUUUACUGGUUUUGGAUGGGCUCACGGCCUAUCAGCUUGUUGGUGGGGUAAUGGCUCACCAAGGCGACGACGGGUAGCCGGCCUGAGAGGGUGACCGGCCACACUGGGACUGAGACACGGACCAGACUCCUACGGGAGGCAGCAGUGGGGAAUAUUGCACAAUGGGCGGAAGCCUGAUGCAGCGACGCCGCGUGAGGGAUGACGGCCUUCGGGUUGUAAACCUCUUUCAGCACGGAAGAAGCGAAAGUGACGGUACGUGCAGAAGAAGCGCCGGCUAACUACGUG
rnacentral:rRNA from 1 species